UUGUAAGGGUGGGCCUGGGAAUAGAGGAAGGAGGGGGGCUGAGAGGCAGAUAUAAAGUAAAUAAUCUUUUUAAAAAAAGAAUAAUGCUGGCUGUAACACGGGACAAUAUAGAAGUGGAAGCAACUACAUUAAAAUUGGAGAAAAUUGGGAAGACUAAAAGCACACAUAACACAUGACAAGUAGCAAUACUUGUAAACUGGCACUGGUCUGGCUCCUAGUACUACUAUUGAUGCUGGAUUUCAGAGGAGAGUGAUACACAUUUGUGUGGGGAAUGGAAAAUCCUAGUGGAAAGAAGACAAUCCUAGACUUAAAGAAAUAACUGCCUUACUAAAAGUACAGCUAUGAGAUUCACUUUAGAAGUCACAAAUUUACCCAUAUGCUUUCUAAACUGGUGAGUAUUUAUGCUUGGGCCAUGAGAAGAAGCAACAGAAUAGAUGAUUUUGAUGAAGAGGCCAUAGAAAUGGAAAACUCUGAUGCCCAACCACUGCUAAGUGAGGUAAUGUAAUGGUAAAAAGGACAAUAUUUCAUUAAUAUCAAGUCAGUUGAUCUGUGAAAAUAAAUGGAGUUACCAUAGACAUAGAGGUAUCACAGCUGGAUGGUGAUCAUACACGCCUUUAAUCCCAGCACUUGGGAAGGAGAGGCAGGCAAAUCUCUGAGGUUAAGGCCAGCUAGUUCCUCGGGGUGAGUUUCAGGGUGGCCAGGGCUACCAUGGGAAACCCUGUUUCAAAAAACCCAAACUAAAACAAAACAGAAAGGAUGGAAGGAAAAAGAGAAAGGAAGGGAGGUAGGAAGGUAUCAGCAUCUUUAGUGUGAUUCUGAUGUCUGUGCUGCAUUGUAUUUACAUGGCCAAAGGCUGGGAAAGUCGAGGGAAAUUUAAAUAUUAUGCCCACACUGUGAAUCAUGAAGAAAAUAAAAAGUAGGGGAUGCUGAAAAUGUCUCUGCACUUUGCCUGGAACUCCCCUGACAAACUUCCACUGACACCUAUUUUGAGCCAGCCUUGACCCAGGUACUCUCUGGUGCUAGCUAUAAAAGUAAAUCCAAAUAUCUUCUCUCUUAGUUUCCAUUGCACUGAAGGGACAGAAGGAAUGCCACACCAAGAAUAAAAAUUAAAAGACCUUUGACUAUGUCUACUCACCCCAAAUAAGGAAGUCACAACAGACCGAAGUAUGGAUACCACCAAAGUCCAACUUGAUAAACCAAUGAUAAUUGGUAACUCCCCCAGUGUGAGAGCUAAGAUGGGUUAUUUUUUGCUGUGUCUGAGAACAACUGAUAGAAACAAACAGAACCCCAGAUUAACUGUGCAUUGGAGUUCGGAACCACCAGAACAUCAAGUAAUAGACUGCCGAGGAUUCUAGAAGAUCCUUGUUUGAUCCUCCCGAGAAGCCUCUCUCUAAGUAAUAUUUGGAACUCUCUUCCCUCGAAGAAAACAAGACAGGAACCUAACAUGGCUUCCCUCCGAAAGGCCCAACAAACAGCUGACUGAGACAUAAGGAGAUACAACCAACCAAUGGACUGAAGUCAGGAACCUCUGAACCGCAUUGUUGAGCUCAACUUGUGAUAAUGUGGCCAUUGAGAGAAAUGAACUGCUUGUGAGGUUCCUAUGGCAGCUUGCUGCUUCCACUGCCUCAGGUCUGCCGGUUCCUUCAGGAUUGAACUAAAACUGCUGGUUCGCAUGUGGUAUAUGCUUGCCUAGAGGACCGGUUUGCAGCUGCUGAAUUGUAUUUGGUGUUUGCUGUGGGACUGAACUGCUAAGAAAGGAGAUCAAGUUCACCCCCAAAAGAACUACUGCUAAACAGAGCUCAAGGAACCCUAUGGAAGUGGAAAGAGGAGGUGGAAAGGAUGGGAGAGCCAGAAGGAAUGGAGGACACCAGGAGAAGAAGACAGCUGGAACAUCCUCAGAUCUUGAUAUCUGCAGGGACUCCUAGAACUAAACCUCCAGAGGCAAUGGAAUAAUUUGAACAGCUUGCCUAGCAAGUAGAUGGAAAGAAACAGAAGGUUCUCACCGUGGAAAAUGUUGAUAAGAAGAAUGGUCAGGUUCAUGUCUCUGUUGCCCAUCCUAACUGAAUGAUCUCUUUAGUAGAUUAAUCUACACAGGUUAAAAAAUGAAUUCCAGUAACAUCUAAGCUUACAUUGAGGAUUCACAGAUGCAAACUGACCUGUUGCCUUCGGCACCUUCUCCAUGCCUUUCCCAUUGGGAUGGAAUUUCUCUCCUGUAACGACCUCAAGAGUGGCAGAUCACCAAGCAAUAAGCACACUUAUUUGGAGUCAUUGCCUCCUCACCAAAUAUGUAAGGUGUAUUGAUCAAAAAUAGACAGAAUAAACCGAUAAGUGAGGAGCUCACAGGAUUUCCUAGUGUAUGUGCUAGAUCAUCUAUUUCCUCUUGCAUGUUACUGAAUAAAAGAUACUGCACAGACAUUGAUGGAUGCUACCACUACUUAUCUACUGAAACUUAGUGUUUCAAACUCUUCCCAUUAUAAAAGUCCCA
rnacentral:lncRNA from 1 species